ACGGAAGGCAGCAGUGGGGAAUAUUGCACAAUGGGCGCAAGCCUGAUGCAGCAACGCCGCGUGAGGGAAGACGGUUUUCGGAUUGUAAACCUCUGUCUUUGGUGACGAAGAAGUGACGGUAGCCAAGGAGGAAGCCACGGCUAACUACGUGCCAGCAGCCGCGGUAAUACGUAGGUGGCAAGCGUUAUCCGGAAUUACUGGGUGUAAAGGGAGCGCAGGCGGGAAAUCAAGUUGGAUGUGAAAUGUCGGGGCUUAACCCCGGAACUGCAUCCAAAACUGAUUUUCUUGAGUGAAGUAGAGGUAGGCGGAAUUCCGAGUGUAGCGGUGAAAUGCGUAGAUAUUCGGAGGAACACCAGUGGCGAAGGCGGCCUACUGGGCUUUAACUGACGCUGAGGCUCGAAAGUGUGGGGAGCAAACAGGAUUAGAUACCCUGGUA
rnacentral:rRNA from 1 species